UACGGGAGGCAGCAGUGGGGAAUAUUGCACAAUGGGCGCAAGCCUGAUGCAGCCAUGCCGCGUGUAUGAAGAAGGCCUUCGGGUUGUAAAGUACUUUCAGUCGUGAGGAAGGUGUUAAGGUUAAUAACCUUAGCAAUUGACGUUAGCGACAGAAGAAGCACCGGCUAACUCCGUGCCAGCAGCCGCGGUAAUACGGAGGGUGCGAGCGUUAAUCGGAAUUACUGGGCGUAAAGGGCACGCAGGCGGUUAAUUAAGUUGGAUGUGAAAUCCCCGGGCUUAACCUGGGAAUGGCAUUCAAGCUGGUUAGCUAGAGUCUUGUAGAGGGGGUAGAAUUCCAUGUGUAGCGGUGAAAUGCGUAGAGAUGUGGAGGAAUACCGGUGGCGAAGGCGGCCCCUGGGACAAAGGACUGACGCUCAUGUGCGAAAGCGUGGGGAGCAAACAGGGAUUAGAUACC
rnacentral:rRNA from 1 species